UACGUAGGGGGCAAGCGUUGUCCGGAUUUAUUGGGCGUAAAGAGCGUGUAGGCGGCCACACAGGUCAGCUGUGAAAACUCGAGGCUCAACCUCGAGACGUCGGUUGAAACCGUAUGGCUAGAGUCCGGAAGAGGAGAGUGGAAUUCCCGGUGUAGCGGUGAAAUGCGCAGAUAUCGGGAAGAACACCGGUGGCGAAGGCGGCUCACUGGCUCAUUACUGACGCUCAGGCGCGAUAGCGUGGGGAUCAAACAGG
rnacentral:rRNA from 1 species